rnacentral:rRNA from 1 species
CAGCCGCCGCGGGAAUACGAAGGGUGCAAGCGUUAAUCGGAAUUACUGGGCGUAAAGCGUGCGUAGGCGGUUUGUUAAGUCUGCUGUGAAAUCCCCGGGCUCAACCUGGGAAUGGCAGUGGAUACUGGCAAGCUAGAGUGUGUCAGAGGAUGGUGGAAUUCCCGGUGUAGCGGUGAAAUGCGUAGAGAUCGGGAGGAACAUCAGUGGCGAAGGCGGCCAUCUGGGACAACACUGACGCUGAGGCACGAAAGCGUGGGGAGCAAACAGGAUUAGAUACCCGUGUAGUCCCUGUCUCUUAUAU